rnacentral:lncRNA from 1 species
CCUGUGUGUGUGCAGGCCUGUGAGUUGAGGGGCUGGGAGGGCUUUGGGUAGCGCUGGCUCCCGCUUUGAAACUGCCUCCAGCGCUGCCCAGACUUCCUGGGCCAGCGCCCUGGCUGGAAGGUUUCUGCCACCAUUUUGUGGGAGGGAGCUGCCAUUUUGUUCAGUGCUGCAGCUCCUGCUUCCUUGUACCAGGAAGUAGUCAGCUAUCAAAAUGUUUAUGUGCAGCAUGGGCACAGGUGUGGCACUCAUCUGCUCAAAUAUAUGGCAGUUGGUUUCUGGAAAAAAAGGGGAAGAAAAACAAAAGCCUUCUUGUCCUCUGCCAAGGCCCCCUCUGGAAGCUGGUAAGAGAUUACACUCAUACUUCAGUGUCACAUUGCUACCAUGAUGCUAUCCCAAAACAGGCUCAUACUGAGUUCCAGGGAUGGGAAAUCUUCAGGAAGAAUAUGCCACAGCAAGGGGCCCUCUGAUUAAAAUAUUGUGACCUAUGAAUUUAAUGUUAUUUCAAAUAAUGGAUACAGAGCAAAAGGAGAGACAGUCAGGUCCUUAACAAGCCAAGAACUUGAAACAGUGUCAGCUACAUGCUGCAGGAUUAUAUAUGCCUGGAAAAUCAGUAAGACAGGAUUAUUUAUUUGGGCUGCAGAAGACAGUCAGUACCAGCAAUCUUAAAAUUUAUGCAGGUUUUCUGUAACAAAAAGCCCAGCUUCCACUACUGAGUCAGCAACUGGAAAGUAGACCAUGCAUUCUUUCUGCUGCCCCAAGGAUACAAAGUAGUUUCUUUGUCUUUCUGGACAAUUAUGAAGCAGCAGCCUAUUCCAGAUCUCCUCUCUAAUUUGUGAACUUCAUUCAGAGAGUGCACAUCCUAAAAUACAACACUUCAUAUUCCCUACUUAUAAAGCUGGAACCAGGAUGCCAGAAGAGGCAGACCCCUCAUGUCCAGGUUCUAAAGAAGACAACCCUGUGUUUAAUGAUCAGAAAGAUAAAGCUUUUAGCUCUGUACUAUCUAAACUAUUUCCUUCAUAGCAUGAAUCCAGUUUGCAUUUUGAAUAAAAAUUAAGUUGUAGUCCA